rnacentral:misc_RNA from 1 species
UUUCCGUAGGUGAACCUGCGGAAGGAUCAUUACCGAAUUUACUUUUAAUAAGUAAAGCUUGUCUAAAUACUAAGUAUUUGCUCUUAAACUGCUUAGGUUUUAUGAACGUCUAGCUAACAAAGAGUAGUACUUUGAUAUUAGAUAUGCAAAAUGUGUAAAACUUUGUGUAUUUUAAAAUAUGAACGCAAGUCUUACCACAAAGUACAUUGCCAUUGUUGUAGUGUACGAACAGAUUGUUCAAACGAGAUGAGUUGUUUUAUGGAGGAAUUGCAUAUAAAUGGGUAGCAAGAUGUUACAGCUUUAAAGGUUUUCGCCCAGCAGUUCUUUAGAACACUCUUGUUUUGAUACUUUCUGCCGUUCUCUUCAUUGAGAACGCAAGCAAAUGAAUGGAAUAAACAAAUGUUUAUAAAAUUUGUAAAAGAAAUCAACCUCGAGUGGUGGAUCACUCGGCUCGU